CUGCUGCAAAAAAACAAAGAGACAUGACCGAGGCCUUCGUUGGUGGAGCUUUUCUCUCUGCUUCAAACCGAGUUCUGUUUGACAGGAUGGGUUCUCUUGACAUCUUGGAUGCAGAGGAUGUUGACAAGAUUGGCUUGCUGAGCUUAAACAUGCUGAUGCGGAGGACCUCUUAGAUGAGAUUGCUACUGAAGCUCUUCGAGCAGGUAGGAAUCCCAGGAUCAAACAACUGUAAUGCAGAGUUUUUCUAGUUAUUAAGAUGUAUUAUCAGAGUCUGAAGAUCUCAAUAACUCAAAACUUGAUGAAAGCUGGCAAAGGACCUACAACAAAUCAAAGCAGGCACAAAUACUUAAGGUGAACAUCGAUGCUUUUCUGGUUAGUGCUGGAAGUUAUAUUUCCUAAUACAGGAGGUGACAUGUGCUUAUUGGAGGAAAAAAUAAAAAUAAAAAGGACCUGCAACUAAUGAUCUUCAAUUAUUGUGCUUUAUGUUCCAAGCUGCCAGUUGCUAUAUGAGUUAAUUUUUGCCAGUCAGUUAAGUUCCUUCUGCAUCCAAUCUACUUUGUUCUGGAGGUGACAAAGAAGAAGCUUUGAUGAUUUUUCUAGAUUUAUGCACCAUGAGAAUUUUAAAUGGUCUACUACUAGCUACAGAUACAAGUUGAGUCUCUUUGCAGCUAGUUCUUCUAUCUGCUUCAUUUCAAAGUUUGGAUUGGCAAAACAACAUAGAGGAUCAUCUUACAUUGUUCAUAGACUUUCUUGGAUUUCUGAACUGUAAGAGGUCAAUAAAAAUCACAACCUCCAGUUCGUUCCACGCAGGCCUUUUCGAACGUAAAGAACAGCACCAACACAUUCAACAGCAGAGAGGUAGGGAAGAAGGCCCUUUCAAUCAUAUCCUGCAUGCAGAACUGAAAUUGAAAUGCUUAUGUGAAGCAUAUAUGGGCAAAAUCCUGUUCUUGAUUUUGUUGGAAGUUUUUUCAUGUUCUUGAGGCAUCCAUCCUGUAGUUUAUUAGUCUGAGUAUCAACUGAUAUGGGCCAACAAACUCAUAAACCAAGUGAAAUGGUUAUUAGUCAAAGUAUCAACUAAUUUAGUUGGUUAAGUAUGUAAAAACUUGAGCUAACCAUAGAUGGGUAGCCCAACCAUUCAGGAAAAGACAUUGCUACAAUAUAAGCCGAAACAUAGCAAUUUUGACUUGGGCA
rnacentral:sRNA from 10 species